rnacentral:ribozyme from 1 species
UGCCCAGCAACUCCUAUCCCUACCUCCUCGCGGUACCGUCCUGAAACUAUGAGCAACCUUAGGGAAGA